GCACCUCCCGGCUCCAGGCGGGCUUCUGGCUAAGCACAACGUGGCCGAUGACACCAUGACGGGAGUGUGCAAGAGGGAGCCAGCAGUCAUGUGGCAGGGAGGAAGCAGGGGGACUCGGGGCCCCGUUUCCUUUUCCUAUCACAACCACACUCCAGGACCCACUGGGGUCCCCCAAGAGCUGCUUUAUCCUCAUUUGAGGGCGGUGCCCCCUAAUGAUGUAAUAAUCGCCCAUUAGACUUUAUUCUUUUUAAGUCUGAGGGGCAGAGAGACAGAUGAAGAGAGACAGAGCCAUAGAACAAGAGCUAACAUCUGCUUGCCCACUCCCCAGAUGUCCACAAGGACUGGGCUGAGCUGGGGUUGGGGCUGGAAGCCAGGAACCUGAUCCACAUCUCCCACGUGGCUGGAAGGACCCCAGUGACUCAGGCAUCACCUGCGGCCUUCCAGCGUCUGCGUCGGCAGGAAGCUGGAGCCAGAAGCCGGAGCCGGGGCUCGACCCCCUGCACUCCAACGUGGGAUGUGGCCCUCUUAACCAGAAUCUUGAUGCCGGGCCAGAUGCUGCCUGGGCCCCAUCUCUUAAAGGGCCCUCUGCCUCAACAUCACCGUGCUGGGGACCACGCUUCCAGCGCGUGAACCUCGGAGGGACUCACUCACGCCAGAUCAGCCUUCUCCAGGGCGUGGGGGUGGCUUUGAGUGACAGUGCCAUCGGCUGGGAGCGAGCAGGGAGGUUAUGUCCGUGCGCUCAGGACUGGCCGCUGGUCAAUGACAGCAGGGCCGCGGUGGUGUGUGUGUGCAUGAAUGUGCUCCCCUGUGCGGGGACCCAGAGACCCCACACCCUCUUGGUAAAGGGGGGACAGACUCUGCCAUGCAGAUCCUACUCCUGAGCUCCCCAGGGCAGCCUGCUGAGGCUGGCUUCAUCCGGACCCUGGCUUCGCUCAGCUCCCGGCCUGUCCCCUUCCUGUUUCCCUCACUUGUCCCCGUCCAGGUUUCUCCUGGAAGCCAUCACUCGCAUACGAUGCCUUGUUGCAGGCUCUGCUUCUGGUGCACCUGCCCCAAGAUCAUAGCCAACGUCUGGGUGUGGGUUCUGCUGCACACACCCAUUCUGAGUGACUACAUUGUGGCUGAUUCAAUCCCAUCACACCUCUCUGGACAGGGCCGUGAAGAUCAUGCUGGAGAGUCAAGUUGGAAAAAUGUCAGCAAGGCCACCCGAGUGACAGCCCGACCUUGGGCAGAGCAGUCUUCCCCAUCUAUGAAGAGUUGGCCUGAAUAAAUGAAUGGACACAGAUUUCAUCUCUGGAGCCAACUGGGAUCAAUUAGAAGUGACUCCCUGGAGGGCUGUAGUGAAACGAUUCUGGAUUUGUAGCUCAGCCCUGCAGGAAUGAGAACUGUGAUCGAUUAGUGAUGUCUGCCGAGGGGACAGGAGAGGGGAGUGAUGGCCAGUGUGCUGUGCAUUGGUUCUUCCUGGAUGGCUAGAUUUGCAGGCUCCUUUGAGCUCUGAUGGCCGGCGGGUCUGUGAUCUGAGCUAUGUUUAGAAGCUUUGCCACAGUGUUCGGAUGAAAAGCAAGGCCAGUAGAGCCAGGCGAGAGAUGAGAGCGUGGCUCUGUGCCAAGGAGAGGCCAAGGCCGGGCAACAGACAUCUGCCACAUUCUGACCACGGCACCCACUCUUCCCCUGGUGGAGGGGAGCGACCACUCAUCCCUCGCUCUGGGAUUUGACCAAUAAGAUCACUGGAUUCCCCUGCUGUGCGUGUAUGACCCAAUUAGAGCUGACGAGCUGAAAGGAGCCUUUCGCGCGGACUCCUGCUGGAGACACGAGCAGCAUUCUUUUCCACUGAACUUGAACUUGGGAGCGGGACCCCUGGAGCUUCCGGCAGCCCCGACAACCUCCUGGGCCGACUGAGAACGAGGCCAAUGGGCGGAAACAUAGAAUCAAGAGACGACUA